rnacentral:lncRNA from 1 species
AUGGAUAGGUUGCUAAUGUGUCCAACUAGAAAAAUGCAUUCUCUUCUUCCAAACUCCACUGAAUGGAUGUCUUUAAAAAAGUCAUCCCUAGUAACAUUCUGUACCUCAGUAUGGUCAACUCCAAGAGAACAUCUUACUAGUAAAAUUACUGAUGUCUUCACCACUUUGCAUUUCAAUUAUUUAUAGGUAUAUCUGCCUUCUUUGAACUCCCUCAGGGCAAUGUCUGAGAAUCACUUAACUUUAUAAUGUCAGUACCAAGUAUAAUGCCUCUCUCAUAGCAAUAGCUAAAUACUGUUGAAUAAAGGAAUAAAGGAGUAAAUGAAAUGUUCUAUUCAAGGAGAUGAUUAUGGACAAGGAAAACUAAAAGAAGCAAUUAAUUCUGUUUUAAGGUAUUGAUGAAAGCAUUAUUAGAUUUCCUUGAAUGAUUUUGUUCCUAAACUAAAAUACAAAGUGUUUAUCUUUUGAAAGUUUUUAACUUAUAAAGAAAAAAAUCUCAUACCAUAGAUUACUUUGUUUGCCCCCAGAAAAUAAAAACAUCUCUAUCUAGUUUACUUUAAACUAAGAACAAAGGCUAAAUUGAAAAAAUAACACAAAAUAUUCAACUAAGUAAUAUUAUUUCUAUUGAAAGGAAAAGGUAAACAUACUUGCUUCACUUUUCUCAUUGUGUAAUUUGUUUUAUUCAGUUGCAAAAGAAAGAAAUAUUGAAUAGUCCAGAAUUAUUCUCUAACCAUAACUUUCAAAAUUUAACUUGGUUCUACUGAAAAUAUUCUAACCAAAGGGAUUCAGUUCUCUCCCCUAAAGUUCUAGUGUUCUGAGUUUACUCUAUUGCUCCUUGACUUCAAAUCAAUACCCACCAGAUACAAUUAAGGAUUCAUUCACUCUCCAGAAUCAGUAGCCUAGGACUCCUUUGUCCUUACCUGAAAGAUCCACAAAUAAUUUGUUCAGAAACAGAGUUGAGAUUGGCUUGCUUUUCCUGAUCAAUGUUGAACAGGAAGAAAGUAUAUGAUACCCAGAACAGCAGCAAUAUUCUCCAGUAUCUAAAAUAUUUAAGGAGAUACUGAUAUUUCGCAGGUAUUCUGAGAGUUGCUAGUCUGGUCAGAAUUCUUACAAAUAUUUACUUAUUAUUUUAAGGACAUUUUUCCUCUAUUUUCCUAGAGAAUGGAGCCAAACAAGUACUUCUGAACUAAAUAUAUUUGAUUGAUAGAUGGUGGGAAAGUUGCUAUAAAUAAGUAGAUAAAGAAAAGAAGGAGAUUCUGCUCUCUAGGUUCUGUGGUAUGUAAAACAGAGAAAAGUGAAAAAAAAGGUAAGAAGAAAAGAGAAAGAGGGAAGUGAGAAAUAACUGUAGUAUGGAAGUAUGUAUAAACAUGGAUGUAUAACCAAUGUGAUCUUGCAAUCUGUACACAUGGUAAAAAUAAGAAUUCAUAACCCACUUGAAUAAAAU